rnacentral:misc_RNA from 1 species
GUGAAUCAUCGAAUUUUUGAACGCAAAUUGCGCUUCCUGGUAUCCCGGGAAGUAUGCCUGUUUGAGGGUCAGCAUUAACAAAAAAUCGGUUUAGUUGCAAAUGGGUACGAUGCGGGGGUUUGGGGUUAGGUUAAGUUUUGGGGGUAAGGUGCUUAAAAUGGACCUUUGUUGCGCAUUUUUAUACGUACAUAAAUUUUUUUUUAUUCGUCUAUUCUUAAUGCCAAAAUCUUAUUAGAUGCGAUCACAUCGUGUGGCUUCGUGUCCAUA